rnacentral:lncRNA from 1 species
CGUCCUUAAGCUCUCCUCUCUCUUUUAAAACUUUGCACUCGGUCUACACAAAUAUAACAUACACCAAAUCUAUUUUCUUAAUUUAAAAUUAAAAUAUAAUUUAAUGGAUAUAUUUACACUAUAUAAUAAAUUUAUGUACAAAAUAUUAUAGGGUUUAAGUUCCAACAAUAUGGACUUAUCAAUAUAGUGUUUAACAUAUAAAUAUACACCUUGUGCAUGAUGUUACGCCCCGGAUUACUCGUUUCUCUGGGCACGCUAAUAGACCCGCCGUAUACAUAGGAAUUUCUCCUGUAUACGAAGCGAAACAGAAAAGUACCGGUAAUCAAACAAUACUACAAACAGUAGUAUAGAGCAGGGGUACAACUAGGCGUGAGAACUACUGCAAAAGAAGUAGUCCUCAGUGGGUACCGUCCUCAAACUCAUCGGCUCACUCACUAAGUCUACAGAUCAGUGAUAGAAAAGGAAGCUGGAACAAAUCUACAGCUAUAUGCCACUAUCCUAUCAUGAACCAACACUACUAUCUGUAGAGUAAUGCAACCUCAGACCCAAAUCCAUAGGGACUGUGAACACACCUGUCCCAGGGACUGUGAACGCACCCAUCCCGCCUGUAGAAUCCUAAAUGCUACCUUCACACUAAUUAGUUCGUGGAGAGCAAGUCCAACCAGGACACUACACAACGCAAACGCACAAAGCCCGACUCAGGAGUGGCACUCGUGGGCUCUACCCAACUGAGUAUGUAAGCAUAUCUCUACUAAGCUCAAUCAGGCUCUAACAGGCUAUGAUCAAGUAAAUAGGGUCCAACUGGUCUAACAACCAAAACUCAUGUACCCUCGGCACAAACUGAUACAAAACCCGCAAGCUGAGUCUACCGUCAACCUUGACGGCACCCGACAGUCCGAAACAGCCUAGACACUGCUAUAAAAAUAAGCUCGGCAUCUCCGCACGAGCGUAACUGCAUUCUACACUAUCCCAGAUAUCUACCGCCAACAAACUGCGGUGAUACAGAUCAACUACAGGUCCUAAGCUUUCGGCGUAUCAAAUG